GCAUUACAGAAGGCAUAUGAUUAAGAGAAAAGAAAAGAAAAGAAAAAGCCAGGGACAGUAACAAAAAGAAAUCGUAUUUGAAGCAUGGAGGCGACUUUGAUCUUUGUAAUAUUUCUUCUGGAAGGAUUAUGGGAGACUAAAGCUGAGUCAGUAACAGGAAGUGCGGGCCAGACGAUCACAAUAACUUGCUCUCACAGUAACGCCUACUCCAAUGUUAAAUAUUUCUGCAAAGAUGAAUGCACAGAUAAAGACAUCCUCAUAAAAACCAGUGACAAAAAUAAAGAGUCAAAUAAGAAAUACAGGAUUAAAGAUGAAGGAAACACAUUCAGCGUCACCAUCUCUGAUCUGCAAGUGAGCGACUCAAGAACGUAUUGGUGUGGAAUUGAAAGAGUUGGUGUUGACACAUAUAAUGAAGUAAUCCUUGAGGUUUUAGCCAACACAGAUAAUGCAGCUCAUAAGGAUGGUUAUUUCUCCCAGACGCUGCUGUAUACUGGCGUAACUCUCGGUGUGGUGGUGCUGGUGCUGGGCAUGGCCCUUCUAAUUUUCUUCAGACAUCGAAACGGUAACAUCAGCACAUCAUCUGGAAAUUACCAUGACGCAGUGUAUACACCAUCCAUUCAGAAAAAAGAUGCACUCCAUGACAAGGACGCCUUCCCAUCCAAGAAAGAUCAAGAAACAGACCGUGGAACUGACAGCUUCAGCACCAGUCAGAAUCUGGAUGCAUCAGAGCCUCUGAAGCAAUCCGACGAUCUCUUUUACACAACUGUUAGCUUCAAAAAUUCCACAGAGUGCAGCAGCAUUAGACCUUAUAGUGUGACAGCUAUAUACUCGUCCCCUAAACACGAAUCAACAGCAGACUCAACCAUCUAUGACAACAUCUGAAAUCAGAGCUGAUAUCUCAUGCAAAAUACUUCUAUGGGGACAUUUCAGUUGUAUUAUAUUUAUAUUUAUAUAUAUAGAUAGAUAGAUAUAUUUAUUUGUUAUGAGUUAAUUAUUUUAAAAAAUCUGAUUCAACUUCAAAUCAGACAUACUGUAUGCUGUGAAAAUUAUAUAUUAUAUAGAUAACAAACAUAGAUUUUUAUCUUAUUCUCUUUUUGUAGUUUAUAUGUGUCUAUUUAUAUAAGACAGAAACUGAGAAAGUGAUAUGAGCAAACAAAGAGGUCAUGGGGGACGAGGUUUACUCUAUGCCUCUAAUGUAGCUUUGCUUUGAUAAAGGUCCCUGGACAAAGAUCAAACCCUUAGUUUGAAUUCUUACUUGGUGGCCUAAAAUCUCAUGAAGUGAAACCAGAGUUUAAAAAAACUCUGGUUACGUGGAACAUUCACCAUCUGAGUUUACUGUUUUGAGCACUGAGCACAGCACAUGCCUUUUUCAGAUGAUUUUAACACACAUUUAAAUUAUUGUGUACUACAGAAAAUAAAACAUUUUUUGGAGCAGUAAAUCUUGGUUAAAUAUAUUCUCUCUGGGGAAAAAAAAACAGAAGUUAAAGUAGUUUCAAAAACAACCAUAGAAGACUCUUUGUGAAUAUUUGUUUUUCACUUGAAGCUGAUUGUUCAGUAGAAACAAUUUUAGAUGGUUUUUCAACGCGGCUGAGAUCGGGUAAGGGAACUGGCCUCAUCAGCCACCUCAAAGUCUUCUGUAAGUAAAAAAAUUGUUUGAUGAAAGGCAGAGUUACAGUAUACACAACACACAGAUGCUAAGUAUGGCUCCAGAGCCUACCUGUAAAUUCCUUUCAUAUCAAACUGUAAUCUAGUGACUCGUGACCUCACCGUAAAAAAAACAAACUGUAAUUCAACCGAGUUUUUUUUUUUAUUAUUUUAAAGAAUUUUCCUCUUAUUUUUAAAUAUGUGAAACAUCAAUGAAAUUACAAAAAAAGACAGUUAAUUAGCAGCCACUGUAAAAUAAUGUGAAAUAAGACCUGUGAAUAUAUAUGUUUUUAAAAAGAAAAUUUUAAAUGGAAAUUUUUUUCCCACAAAAAAGGACUGCAAAAAUACAGUUACAAGUGUAACAUAAUUUUAUAAAUAUGUCAUGUUUAUUUUAAACAUAAAACUGUUAAAUUCUAGUUUAUUGCUGUAAAUACAUAUCUAAAAUAUGUACACUGCGUGUUUGUUCAUUAAAUAACAGAUAUCCUGUGUCAUUAUGGAAGUUUUCAUUACGAAAAAGGUGGGGAAAAAAUUCUACAAUCUCCAUCCAUCCAUCCAUCCAUCCAUCCAUAGAUCCAUCCAUCCAUCCAUCCAUAGAUCCAUCCAUCCAUCCAUCCAUAGAUCCAUACAUCCAUACAUACAUCCAAAAAAACACAGCACCAACACUCUCACUCUCCAUCGAUCUCUGUCUCUCUCUCUCUCUCUUCUCCUUUAUAGCACCCUUUUAUUUGUGCAGUGGCAGAAAAAAUAUAGUAGUGAGAGUAAAAUUGGUAAAUCAGACAACACAAGUGACAUGAUGAUUCAUCGUGAAGGAAUUUACCUUAAUAUUUUUUUAACUGUGGAAAACUAUGCAAGGUUUCUGACCGACAAUGACGACAUCAUUAAACAAUCAGCAGCAGCUUAAUAGCAGGUUCUGCUGUCUGGCUUUCUUAGGACUGAAAUUUAUUUUAAAUGUUAUGAUGAAAGGUGGUGAUUAGCAGCUGAUUAGCUAUUGUACUCUCACUCUUUCUCUUCUAAUUUUCUGUCUCUGUUUCUCUCACUCUUUCUGCACAAAGAGAUCCACGUCCAUCGUUCUUCAACAUCAUGCAAAUACGUCAAGUUAUGUGGUAGAAAAACAGAGCUGCCACACUCUUAUAUGUGCAGAGGCAGACGUGUGGCAGUGAGAAUAUAACAGCUAGGUCAGAGUACACAGAUGUCAUUGUGACUGAUCAUGGGGCCUGUAAUAUUUAUCUUAUUAUAAUUUUAAAUUAAAAUAGAAACUAUAAAAUGUUUCUGACUGAAACAACAAGGAUAUCAUUAAAAAUCAUAAUUGGCAAUUAUAGUUAUUUGAGUACUUCUGUUUUGAUUUUAUUGCUGCAUUUAUA